rnacentral:rRNA from 1 species
UGACCAACCUGCCCCUAACUCUGGGAUAACCCCGGGAAACCGGAGCUAAUACCGGAUACGAGACCGAGUGGCAUCACACGGUCUGGAAAGUUUUUCGGUUAGGGAUGGGGUCGCGGCCUAUCAGCUAGUUGGUGAGGUAACGGCUCACCAAGGCAACGAUGCGUAGCCGACCUGAGAGGGUGAUCGGCCACAUUGGAACUGAGACACGGUCCAGACUCCUACGGGAGGCAG